CACUUUGACUAGUCCAAAUAGUAGUUAUAUUUAUAAGUGGGACAAUCACCACCCCAUGAAUUAGCUUUUGGAAUCGAAUGUUACCAGAAUCCAAAUUUAAAGGCGGUAUCAAAUUAUGUUGUUAUUGAGCCACUCAGAGAUAAGUCUAAACUUCACCCUCCAAAUGUCUCCCGCGUAAAGUGGGGGCAACCUUCACCCUACGAUUUAGCAAAUUCUAAGAUACUUUUAACUGUAGAACAAUUUGCAAGAAAAGAGAAUUCUUCUCUAAAGAAAACAGAUAAAUAAACGCUUAUAAGAACACAAAACGAUUGAUCACAGAAAUCAUUUAACUGUACCCACGUCUAGUAGAAUUGCUACUGUAGCUUUUCUAGUAUUUUUCUCUUAAUUCGAUUUAUUAUCUUUUUCAGACUCCACAAUCUGUUCGAGUCCUAUUCAAGGACCCUUGCAUAAGGCUAGCAGCAGAGGUAUCAAAAGCACUAAUAGAACUAGCCAACAGCAUAAGAAGUCGGCGUCAUUGCUCACCAGAAAUACUCUCUGAUCAUCUACAUGAAGCAUUGAAAG
rnacentral:lncRNA from 1 species